rnacentral:lncRNA from 1 species
UGCUAUUCACAACCACACAUGCACUCUCAUGCACAGAACACAGACCUUCUAGGAUUCUCUGGACUCAGCCCUGGACUGUAGUUGUUCCUGGAUCUUCCCUGUGCUCUGCUUCCAGCCCACUGGCCAGCCCUGGCCCUUGCCCCUGUCCGACCCUGUACAGGGCUGGAAAAAGGAUGGAUAGUCUUCUACAGACAACACAAAGCACAGAUCAAAAGGGCAGUUCACAAACUGCAUAAUCAGAAAAGAGGAAGCAAUCUCAGUGCGAGCCUUUUAGUGAUAGAAACUCGAGCUCAGGUAUUGUCAAAAUUACUUACAAUUUGUUUUCAAGUCCUGUCUGUUAGAUUUCCCUCGCCUUAGAUGGCUCUAACUGGUGAUGACACAAGCCCCGCCUAUGAUGUCACAAACUCCCCCAAUCCCGAGCCACUACUCGCUCAAUCCCGCCCCAGCUCCUGCAAGCCCCGCCCCAGUCCUAUAAGAAGCCUCCCUGUUUGAGCCAUGUUGCUCGCUGUCCUUUGUUCUGAGACAGCCCAGCAGCCCCUCCCCAUAAUAAAGGCUUGUUAUGGUUCUGAUCUGGUCCUGGUUUUUGGCUCUUUUUACCUCUCUGGUGCCAAAACCCAGGAGGAAGGCAGUCGAUUAAGCGACUGUCCCCGUGGGCUGGGGUCCAUUGGCCUUUCAGCCACCUCCUCCAGACCACAUCGGGGAGCCAGGACCUCCUCUGGGCUUCCUACCUCUGCCAAUACUGACGACUCACACCCACCGCGGUCACUUCCUUCAGGGUCUUCCAACAUAUUGUUUAUGGCAAUAACCUUUUGAUCCAGGUGUUCUCCCUUCUCUUCUGCUCCACCUACUCAGGAUUACAGGUACAUUUGUAGGCCCAUACGCUUUCCUUAGAUGAUAUCAAAAGAUAAUAACUUGAGUAAGAGUUUCCAUUUUUUUGUUUUUAUGUGUUUUUAGAGGGAAAUAAAUACAUUUAAUGAUAGCUAUUCUAUACUAAAAUACAUAUCUGUUUGUUGCAAAGAUAAUGUCACCAUGAUUGUCA